rnacentral:misc_RNA from 1 species
GCAGGAAUGAAACUCAAUUAAGAAUUAAAUGCACGAAAUGAAUUUUGCAAACUGUUAAAAACUCCAAUAACAUCACACUGUAAAAAGGCUACAUAGAAUGUCCACAAGUCUGCAUAUUCCACCAAUUAAACAGUAAAUAUUCAUCAAAGUUGCAACUCUGCUUGGCCACACACAUACGUUAUGUAGCUGAGAACUGUUUCUUGGACGGAGGAUCUAUCAUGUAUUAUAUACCAUCUAAGAGUAGAAAAGCUUUCCCACAUCGCCUUGAUGUUUAAAGAACGUGUCAACCAACAACUCCCAUUUUGGGUGCAAUAGAGGAUCAACUACAGCUGCAAAGGCUCUUACUUUAAAGUACACAACCGAUAUAAUGUCACAUGAGAUGUAUGGCAGAUGGUCCGGUAAAAGCAGCAACCUUCUGGGCACGCUGUGCUUCACACUUAUAUAGCUCCUUCGUUUCUUUUUUCAUACGGCGCGCCUCACGUCGUUCUUCCUUCACAGCAGCCUUUCUUUCUUUCUUUUCCUCCUUUGACUCUUGGCCAUGUUGCUUUCUUUUGAGCUGCUCCUUCAUUGGGUUGUCCUUUCCCUCCUUUUCUGAACCUUGCUUUUUCUUAUCCUCCUUUAGCAAGGCAUGCUUUCCCUUGCUAGGCAAAUAGUCUACAGGAAGAUUUGCUUUUCCUUUAAGGGAUAUUAUAGGUGAAGCUUCAGAAAUAGCAGGGAGCAACUUUUUUCUCCUUGCUUCAGGAGCUACAAUUUUU